AGCGAACGCUGGCGGCAGGCCUAGCACAUGCAAGUCGAACGGAUCCUUCGGGAUUAGUGGCGGACGGGUGAGGAACACGUGGGAACGUGCCUUUUGGUUCGGAACAACUCAGGGAAACUUGAGCUAAUACCGGAUAAGCCCUUCGGGGAAAGAUUUAUCGCCAUUAGAGCGGCCCGCGUCUGAUUAGCUAGUUGGUGAGGUAAAGGCUCACCAAGGCGACGAUCAGUAGCUGGUCUGAGAGGAUGAUCAGCCACACUGGGACUGAGACACGGCCCAGACUCCUACGGGAGGCAGCAGUGGGGAAUCUUGCGCAAUGGGCGAAAGCCUGACGCAGCCAUGCCGCGUGAAUGAUGAAGGUCUUAGGAUUGUAAAAUUCUUUCACCGGGGACGAUAAUGACGGUACCCGGAGAAGAAGCCCCGGCUAACUUCGUGCCAGCCGCCGCCGUAA
rnacentral:rRNA from 1 species